rnacentral:lncRNA from 1 species
UAGUGUACAGUAUACUGCAACAGAGCACAUGGAACAUAGUGUAAACUUUCUGACUGCUCUUCUUACAAUGAUUGAUUUAUUUAUCUCUACCUUCAUGUCAUCAGUGGUAUAAUAAACUCAUUUUUUAUCGAUUUGUAUUAUAUAUUUCUAAAAUAUUAUAUAUAUAUUUUUUCUUUGCCCAAAGGAAUUGUGGACUGACCGGGAAAGAUCACUACCAAAAUGAAAUAUCGCCGGUUACUGCCUGUUAAGUCUUUGAGUGAGGUGGAAAACCCAUGGACAGGAGUCACUCUGAACCGCUGCAUUUUGGUGGCCAUGGUGGUCAUCGUGGUCAGCUCAGGGGUUGAACUUGUACAAGAUACACUGGAGCCAUUAUUUGAGGAAGAGGAGGCAGGGUCUGAGGUACAGGAUGGGGGUGUAGAUGAGUCAUCCUGGUGGGACACACUUGCAUUUUGGAACUGGGGAGCAGAGGAUGAACUAGACAAACUGAGAAAGAAGAGAGCAGCCCGCAUGAGGAACAAGGAAAUGCCCACAAAAGGACUUCUAAAGGAAAGGGAUUAGAUAAGUAAGACCUGCCUUUGAAGGAGGACAGGGGUUUUCAUCAUGGAGCAAGAUCUGAAGACUAGAGACUGUGGGGAUUAA